rnacentral:rRNA from 1 species
AUGCACGCUGGCGGCGUGCCUCAUACAUGCAAGUCGAGCGAACAGACGAGGAGCUUGCUCCUUUGACGUUAGCGGCGGACGGGUGAGUAACACGUGGAUAACCUACCUAUAAGACUGGGAUAACUUCGGGAAACCGGAGCUAAUACCGGAUAACAUGUUGAACCGCAUGGUUCAACAGUGAAAGACGGUCUUGCUGUCACUUAUAGAUGGAUCCGCGCCGCAUUAGCUAGUUGGUAAGGUAACGGCUUACCAAGGCAACGAUGCGUAGCCGACCUGAGAGGGUGAUCGGCCACACUGGAACUGAGACACGGUCCAGACUCCUACGGGAGGCAGCAGUAGGGAAUCUUCCGCAAUGGGCGAAAGCCUGACGGAGCAACGCCGCGUGAGUGAAGAAGGUCUUCGGAUCGUAAAACUCUGUUAUUAGGGAAGAACAAAUGUGUAAGUAACCAUGCACGUCUUGACGGUACCUAAUCAGAAAGCCACGGCUAACUACGUG